rnacentral:rRNA from 1 species
GAUGAACGCUGGCGGCGUGCCUAAUACAUGCAAGUCGAACGCUGAAGGAGGAGCUUGCUCUUCUGGAUGAGUUGCGAACGGGUGAGUAACGCGUAGGUAACCUGCCUGGUAGCGGGGGAUAACUCUUGGAAACGCUAGCUAAUACCGCAUGACAACAGUUAUUGCAUGAUAACUGUUUAAAAGGGGCAACUGCUCCACUACCAGAUGGACGUGCGUUGUAUUAGCUAGUUGGUGAGGUAACGGCUCACCAAGGCGACGAUACAUAGCCGACCUGGGAAGGGGGUCGGCCACACUUGGACUGAGGCACGGCCCAGACCUCUACGGGAGGCAGCAGGAGGGAAUCUUCGGGAAUUGACGGAAGGCUUACCGGGCCACGCCGCGUGAGGUAAUAAGGUUUUCGGAUCGUAAAGCUUUGUUGUAAGGGAAGAACGAAUUUUGGAGUUGAAAAUUCACGCUUUGACGGUAGCUUACCAGAAAGGGACGGCUAACUACGUG